GACGAACGCUGGCGGCGUGCCUAAUACAUGCAAGUCGAGCGAAUCAACAGGAGCUUGCUCCUGUUGGUUAGCGGCGGACGGGUGAGUAACACGUGGGCAACCUGCCUGUAAGACUGGGAUAACACCGGGAAACCGGUGCUAAUACCGGAUAAUCUUUUUCCUCUCAUGAGGAAAAACUGAAAGUCGGUUUCGGCUGACACUUACAGAUGGGCCCGCGGCGCAUUAGCUAGUUGGUGAGGUAACGGCUCACCAAGGCGACGAUGCGUAGCCGACCUGAGAGGGUGAGCGGCCACACUGGGACUGAGACACGGCCCAGACUCCUACGGGAGGCAGCAGUAGGGAAUCUUCCACAAUGGACGAAAGUCUGAUGGAGCAACGCCGCGGGAGCGAUGAAGGCCUUCGGGUCGUAAAGCUCUGUUGUUAGGGAAGAACAAGUACCGGAGUAACUGCCGGUACCUUGACGGUACCUAACCAGAAAGCCACGGCUAACUACGUGCCAGCCGCCGCAGUAAUAC
rnacentral:rRNA from 1 species